CUAGGAUGGGUGACCUCCCGG
rnacentral:sRNA from 1 species